rnacentral:rRNA from 1 species
AUGAUAACGCAAAAACACGAAGAAGGCGACCACGGAGAUACAAGCAAUGAAGCAGACACACACAUUGUUCCAGAGAAAGAAGAAGAAACCAUCGAAGAAAACCCUACACCGUCAUACGAUGCCAAUUCCCCUGGCAGAGAGGUCAGUGCCAACCAGGUCGAGACUAAAAAACAAGACGGAAAAGACCACCAGCAAGACACGACGGUUGACAAGGAAAAAUAUGAUGCUAAGAAAGUCACAGACGACUCAUAUGAGGAUGCAGAAAAAACUAAACAAAAGGGUACAAUGCAAAAAGAAGAACAUAAUAUGCCGCAACAAGCAAAAGGAGAACAAGAAAGGAACAACACUGGACAGGACAUAUCUUCUAGCAUCGAAGCAGGCAAGACAAUAUAA